UUGUAACAAACACACCCGCAUACGUUUUACUUAAUGUCGAACGAUCUUAAAAGGUAUACAACGUGUCCUUAACGUGUAUCAAACUUAUCUGUGGCGCGUUAAACGCGCUUGUAGCGUAUGUAUAACGUGCGUGUAGCGUACAGGUAUACGCUAGACAUAGGCUUGAGUUGGAUGAAAAUUUUUAUGCUGCAUAAAAAUUUCCUCGAGUUGUUGCGUUUACCAAACGUAUACAUGUGUAUUUCGACGUACUUCAAACUUAUGCAACGUGCGUUUAACGAUUGCUUAGCGUUCCCCUGGCGUGUAACUAACCGACUUUGUCAAUUUUCUCUGUACGUUUGGUGCACGCCGUUCUAUACCGGCGCCAAUGUGUGACGCCGGCAUAACAACAAAUAAGACAACAGUCGUUAGUAGUAUAACGAUAUAUAUAUGAAUGUAUUUGGAUAAUAUGGUUGAAAAAAACCUUUGUGUACAAAGUCGAAAAGCGAUACGCAACGACGAC
rnacentral:lncRNA from 1 species